AUACUGAAAUUGAGCUUCAACCAGAUAUGACUUAUUCAGAAGAACCAGUGAAGAUUUUGGCUCGUGAAGUUAAGGAAUUGCGGAACAAAAGAGUACCAUUGGUUAAAGUAUUAUGGCAUCGACAUGGUAUGGAGGAGGCAACCUGGGAAACAGAGGAGUCAAUAAGAUCACAGUAUCCAAAUCUAUUUUCAGAUCAAGAAUCCAAAGAAGAACGAGGAAAAGAAAAAGUUGCGGAAUAGUCCCAAAAUUUUAAUAUCUUCUACAAAUUAGCCGGAUUGACUUGAAGUGAAGUGGGUAGAUCGGAUCAACACAACAAAGCACACUAUCCAGAUCAAUUCUGGUAGCUUUUGUUUUAUGUUUGAAGAUUUAUAUGGCAUGUAUAGAGUUUAAAUGAAAUGAAGUAAAGAUGUUAUAAACUAGUUAACAACAUUUUGUACUAAAAUAGUUUUUGGUUAGUAGCAGUAGUCUGAGUUUGAAAAUUCACCAUAAAUCAUAAAAAUAUAAUUAUAGGUUGAAUAAAAUAUGAAAUUAAAUCUUAUUGAAUCUAGUUUCACAUAGAAGAAA